CUUUGAAGGCUUUUAAGAAAAAAAAGUGGUAUUGUGAUUUUCUUUUUUAAUUGAUGAUUUUGACUGCAGUGUGGAGGAUGGAUGGAGGGAGGAGGGCAAAAAAGGGCAAAAGCAGGGAGACCAGAUAAUCAAUUAGAGUGAAAAGAGAGAUGUAGGUGGACUCAAGUAAUACUUUGGAAGUCAGAUCGAUAGAACUUUAUAAUGGACGAGAUACAGGAGUUAAGAACAAGUGGUAGGCUAAGAAGGUUGAUUCUCAGAUUUCCGGCUGUAGAAAGUCUAGAGAUUGAGCAGAUUGAUGUUGGAAAAGGAUGAUCAAAAGUUCAGUUCUGGAACUGCUAAAUUUUAGGAACAUUUGAGAUAUUUAAGCAGAUAUAUAGAAGAGGUAACGGGCUAUCAUGUCAGAGGUCUGUACUGGAAGAACAGAAUGUUCUGGCAUGCAGGAAGUGCCAGAAUUUGUAUAUGGUUUCAUAGCUGUGACAAAGGUUGAGAGAAGGAGUGUGUAGAGAAGAUGGUGGGAAAAAUAUCAUAAAUAUCUAAUAUGGGAAGGCAGAGGAUUUUUUUUGUUUGUUUGUUUGUUUUUGGUCUUUUGUCCUUUUAGGGCCGUGCUUGCGGCAUAUGGAGGUUCCCAGGCUAGGGGUCUAAUCAGAGCUACAGCUGCCGGCCUACACCAGAGCCACAGCAACACCGGAUCUGAGCUGCGUCUUUGACCUACACCACAGCUCACGGCAACGCCAGAUCCUUAACCCGUGGAGCAAGGCCAGGGAUUGAACCCGCAACCUCAUGGUUCCUAGUUGAAUUCAUUACCCACUGUGCCACAAUGGGAACUCUGAAAAGUUUAAUUUUCUAUUUUUACUCAGUUGUAUCUUAUUUGUCUAUUAAGAUGAACAUUUCUGGGCAGAGAUGUGAUUCUUCUUCCUCUGAUACUUUAUAUUGCAGGAGUCCAAUAAAUAUUUUUGAUUGAUUUAAGAAAAGUAAUGAUAAAAUAAAUAUUCUAACUUACAUCAGAAAGUCAUCUUACCUUCUAUAUCAAAUCCCGGUAGUUUUUUAAUAGACCAUUAGAAAGAUUUUAGACCAUCUCUUUGCAUAAGAGAGAAGAAAAUUUUUCAUAGCAAAACCAUUUUCUUCCUUGUCUGCUUAAAUCAGAUAUCUUAUUUGUUAGUAGAUUAAGGCCAUUCAACUGCAAUAAAGACUCUAAAUCAGAGGUUGACAAAAUAGGCAAGUAUCUGAUUAUGUUUCUGGACCUAUUCAAUGGCUAAUCAAAACUAAAAUCUUUACUUGAUUACAUUUAAGAGUGGUAGCACUUCAGGUUUGUAUCAGUUAAUCAUGAAACCAAAAAAUCUGUUAAAAUAGUUCAUAGCCUUUAUACCACCUGCCCCCUAGUACAGUAAUUACUGAAAGGUAAAAGGAAGAGUAGGGAGGAAGAUUAUUUCUAAGAGGAUUGUAUUUUUAAUACUUGGUUAAAUUAUGGCUACAUGAUUGUCAAGCCAGAGAUCUACAGGGAAAAUGAAAGAGGUUUAGUAGAAGAUAACAACUGAGGCUUAAAAGUAAGAGGAAUACCUGGUUGUGUUUAUCACCUGACUGUGGUGAUGCCCUCCCCUCUGGUUUUCAUCCAUUUUAUUUGGGGAGCGCGACAUUUAUGGGAUGAGCCUUUUGACCAAAAACAAACAAAACCAGAACAAGCAAACAAACAAAAAAUUAAAUCCCCAAACCCCAUUCUUUGAAUAACUAUUGUAUUGCUCUGGUUGGUUCAGGUAAAUUUCAAGCUGUGUGUGUUUUUCCUUUAAUUUCUAACAUUAUAGAAAAAGUGAUCAGAUAAUGCUGUAUGUCUUAAUAUUUAUUAGUAUUUUAAUAUAAGAAUAUAAAGCAAACAUGUCCUAUAGUCCUGUUUUCUAGAUAAUUAUGGUUGACAAGAAAAAAUAAGUAUGAAUACUGGGAGAAUCUGCAAACAAUACCAAGAAGCAUAAAGUAAAACUGAAAGUCUUCAUUCCCCAAACCCAGUCGUUCUAUUAAAGGUUUUUUCUGAGCAGUGCGUGUGUAGCUUCCAAAAGCAUAUAUGUAUAUAUUCAUUCAGUCAGUGAAUACUAUGGCACAUUUAUUAUGUCUUGACACAUCCACAAAUAUAUAUAUUGUACACACACAUAACACAAUGUAUUAUAUGUAUGACAUACAUAUGUGUAUGCAUAAUGUAUUACAUAUAUAGCACAUGCAUAUAUGUGUAUGUAAUAUACUACAUCUGCACGAUAAAAAGGUAUAUGUGUGUGUGUUUGUGUGCACGUGUGUGCAUGUGCACUCACCUGUGUGUACAUUUACAUACAUACGCACCCUGGUAUAACCAAAAAUUACUAAAAUGAUUUUUAGUUACUGAGGUUAUCUGCACACCAAAUGUGUUCCUAGGUAGACAAGCUUAUAUUUUUUUCUUUAUUUCAAAUAUAUAUAUAUUUAAUGAAGUAUAGUUGAUUUACAUUGUUGUGUUAUCUUAGAUGUACAGGACAGUGAUUCAGUUAUACAUACAUAUAUAUUCUCUUUCAGACUCUUUUCCCUUAUAAAUUAUUAUAAAAUAUUCAGUAUUGUUCCAUACUCUAUACAGUAGGUCCUCAUUGUUUAUCUGUUUUUUAUAUAGUAGUGUGUAUAUGUUAAUCCCAAACCCCUAAUUUCUCCUCACCAUUUCUUUCUCCCUUGGUAACCAUAAGUUUGUUCUCUUUCUGAUUUGUAAAUAAGUUCAUUUGUAUCUCAACUAUCUUUCUUACCUUUUGUUUUUCCUUUCCAUCCUUCCUUCUUUCAUUUCCAUAUUUGCAAAUGACACAUGAUAUAAUAGACAUUAUUUUUUUCUAAUUUCUUUCUUUCUUUUUUUUUUUUUUUUUUUUUGCUUUUUAGGGCUGUACUUGUGGCAUAUGGAGGUUCGCAGGCUAGGGAUUGAAUUGCAGCUACAGCUGCCAGGCUACACCACAAUCACAGCAAUGCAAAAUCCCAGCUGCAUCUGUGACAUAUGCCACAGCUCCCAGCAAUGCCUGAUACUUAACCCACUGAGUGAAGCCAAGGAUCAAACCCGCAACCUCAUAGUUCCUAGUCGGAUUCAUUUCCUCUGUGCCAUGAUGGAAACUCCUGUUUUCUAAUUUCUUGAUUAUGCUUCUUUAACUGCUGAGCCACGUAGGGAACUCCUGCUCUGCAUUUUUGCUUUUGGAAAAAUUCUACCUUAAUACAAAGCCAGUUCUACUUAUAAAUUCAUCUAAUCCAGCACCUUACCUAAAUUAAAACCCCACUGAUGGUUUGACUUUUAUAUUUUUAAUGAGGUAACACUGGUUUAUAAUAUUAUACACUUCAUGUGUACAACAUUAUGUUUUUAUUUCUGUACACUGUAGAGUGUGCUCACCACCAAAAAUUUAGUUUCCAUCUGUCACCAUAUAUAGUCGAUCCCCUUUACCCAUCCCACCCUCCUCCCAACCCUUCUCUGAUAACUAAUCUGUUCUCUGUAUCUAUUGGUUUGUUUUUGUUUGCUUUGUUCAUUUAUUUUUGUUUGUUUUUUUAUAGUCCAUAUUUGAGUGAAAUCAUACUGUAUUUGUCUUUCUCUGACUUAUUUUACUUAGCACAAUACCCUCAAAGUCCAUUUGCAUUGUCACAAAUGGCAUAAUUUUAUCUUUUUUAUGGCUAAAUAGUAUUCUUGUGUGUGUGUGUGUGUGUGUGUGUGUGUGUGUUUUGGCAUUAGCUUUACUUUCCAGCACCAUUUUAUGUCUUAUCCUUAUUCUGCAUUCUUCCUUACACAUUUAUAUUUAAUAAAAUAUACAUGUCCUUAUAAAGUAAAUUUAAUCAGUUUUUAACAGAGUGGGGUUAACCAAUUAAUUAAGAUUAAUAAAUAAAAAUAAACAAUUUAAUUUAUAAAUUAGGGAUAAAGUAAAUUGAGAAAGUGUUAGGUUAUAAUAACAUUGCAGUUGGCGAGAGGAUUUUAUCAUUAUUAAAAAGCAUCAGUCACCCCAUGAAAGAGAAUCCUGUGGAGAGAGAACUUCAUUAAAAUGGAAAAUUCUCUUCAUUUAGUUCAUUUAUGGUAUCAAGGUGGCGAGGAAUGAAAGGUAAUGUCAAAGGAAUAAAUAUCAGGUGGAUAACAUCAAUAUAAGAAAG
rnacentral:lncRNA from 1 species